rnacentral:piRNA from 1 species
UUCAGUCCACACAAAGAAGCUUAGU